GAGGGAGAAAGUGUAGAGCUCGAUGGCCAAGUUAUGCAAACCGUGUUUAAAGUCCUCUUCCUUUUCAAGUUUUCAUCAUCCAUCACCACAAAACAAAAAAAAGGAAAAAAAAAAAAAAAGAUGAUGCUGGCCCUCUACUGGUAGCGGGUCCUUGGGUUUUGGAGUUUUGCUACAACAGCUUCAGCUGAUGAGGCUGGAUAGUCCAAGCUAUCCAUGCAUCCUCAGUGCACAUGAUCAUGCUUCGUGAAAGUGCAUCCUUUUUAACUUAUUCGAGAGGGAUAACAUUAUAUAAUCCUUAUUUUCUUGGUGGAGCAAUCACCAUGCCUAAAACGCUUAAUGAUGGUGCUGUUGAAUAUGACUAUAUGAGAAUCUCAGGUAUGUUAGCUUGAGGAACUGUUUUAAAAUCUUUACUAUUCUGGACAAUGUUUGACUUGUUUUCUCUCUUUAUUAUUAUUAUUUUGUUUUUGGGA